rnacentral:lncRNA from 1 species
GCAUGGUGUGAUUAACCUACUAACCCUAACCCAGGGCUCGGUCAGGACGCUGUGACCCGGGAUGAGGUGCUUGGCCUUCUGCAGAUCGACUAACCCACUAACCAGGCCCGGAGCAUGCCCGUACUAACCCCGCAGCAGCCAGAUCCUACUAACC